rnacentral:rRNA from 1 species
UACGUAGGGGGCAAGCGUUGUCCGGAAUCACUGGGCGUAAAGCGCGCGUAGGCGGCCCGGUAAGUCCGUUGUGAAAGUCAAAGGCUCAACCUUUGAACGCCGAUGGAUACUGCCGGGCUAGAGUCCGGAAGAGGCGAGUGGAAUUCCUGGUGUAGCGGUGGAAUGCGCAGAUAUCAGGAGGAACACCGAUGGCGAAGGCAGCGCGCUGGGACGGUACUGACGCUGAGGCGCGAAAGCGUGGGGAGCGAACAGG